rnacentral:lncRNA from 1 species
UAGGGGGUAGGACGAUCAAUUGUUUUUGCUUCUGUUCUUACUGCAUUAUUAACUGCUAGGGGAGGCUAGGGAUAGCAAGCCAGUAAUUAGUAAUAGGCCCUUCUCGCCGAGGGAUCGGGUUAAGAGUAGGCCAAGAAAGUUUGCAUAACAAUUAGAUAACAAAGCGCAAUAAACAAAAGGAGUAGAUAAGAAGGAGCGGAUUGGAUGAAAUUGUAAACCCCCAACAACUCCAUUCAUCCAUAGUCUCUUUUCGUCAAUUGAAUCAAAUACUUUGCAUGUUUAUUUUCUGUCUUUGCAUUCACCACAAUUAUUUCUUUUUACAAGUCUUACGAUUUUAAUUCACACGAACGAGAAAACCUUUCGAGUCUCAUGGGAAGAACGAUAUCAGGCUUUACCGAUUAUAUUACUUGCACGAUCAAGUACACUUGCCAGUGACUCAACACUGCUGUUGUGGUGGCCUAUUGAAUUGUCCAUCUGUUUGCCCAAACUGUCCUUGUCCCCUG